GGGCUCCUUUUCCUGCCCCGAAAGCGAGGCAGCGGCAGCCUAGUAACCGCAAGAACUGCCUCACAAUCGCAGGCCUGGCAAGAAGAAACCUGACUGAGCAGCGGUGGUCGGUCCCCGUCAGCCGGUUCUGGGCGCUGUGACGCCAGGAAAGGCCUCCCCUGUCCACUGCCUGCCGCCCUCGUCCGCAGCCUUGCCCGGUGGACCAGCCUCAGAAGCCUGCUACGUCCCCUCAGAGGUGCAGGGGCUUUGCCCCCGCCUCCAUCUUCGUCUCUCAGGAUGGCGACCAGCAGCGGCUCGAAGGCUGAAUUCAUAGUCGGAGGGAAAUACCAACUGGUGCGGAAGAUCGGGUCUGGCUCCUUCGGGGACAUUUACCUGGCGAUUAACAUCACCAACGGCGAGGAAGUGGCAGUGAAGCUAGAAUCGCAGAGGGCCCGGCAUCCCCAGUUGCUGUACGAGAGCAAACUCUAUAAGAUUCUUCUAGGUGGAGUUGGUGUUCCCCACAUACGGUGGUAUGGUCAGGAAAAAGACUAUAACGUGCUGGUCAUGGAUCUUCUGGGACCCAGCCUCGAAGACCUCUUCAAUUUCUGUUCAAGAAGGUUCUCGAUGAAAACUGUGCUUAUGUUGGCUGACCAGAUGAUCAGCAGAAUUGAAUAUGUGCAUUCAAAGAAUUUUAUACACAGAGACAUUAAGCCAGAUAACUUCCUCAUGGGUAUUGGGCGUCACUGUAAUAAGUUAUUCCUUAUUGAUUUUGGUUUGGCCAAAAAGUACAGAGACAACAGGACAAGGCAACACAUACCGUACAGAGAAGACAAAAACCUCACUGGCACAGCCCGAUAUGCCAGCAUCAGUGCGCAUCUCGGUAUUGAGCAGAGUCGCCGGGAUGACAUGGAGUCAUUAGGAUAUGUUUUGAUGUACUUUAAUAGAUCCAGCCUGCCAUGGCAAGGACUUAAGGCUGCAACAAAGAAACAGAAAUACGAAAAGAUUAGUGAGAAGAAGAUGUCCACUCCUGUUGAAGUUUUAUGUAAGGGGUUUCCUGCAGAGUUUGCCAUGUACUUAAACUAUUGUCGUGGACUGCGCUUUGAGGAAGCCCCGGAUUACAUGUAUCUGAGGCAGCUAUUCCGCAUCCUUUUCAGGACCCUGAACCACCAAUAUGACUACACAUUUGAUUGGACGAUGUUAAAGCAGAAAGCAGCACAGCAGGCAACAUCUUCCAGUGGUCAGGGUCAGCAGAACCAAACCCCCACAGAUGCAGAACUAUAUUCAUGUGAACAUUGAAAGUAUUCUCAGAAGAAAAUUUCAAAUGGCAAUUUGCUAUCAAAUGCUACCAAAUAGCUGCAAUCAUAUUCCAGCAAGAAUCAGACUGCCUGGAAGAGCAGAAGGUAGGGGUGGUGGCUUGUAUUUUAGAACUGUGGGUAUUAUCAAAUCAGAAAGAGGAAGGCUGAGAAGCAAAGCACUUUUUUUUCCACAACCUUCCAUUUCACCAGACUGCAGCAAAGGAGGCAGUGUUAAAACUUCAAAUUCUAGAUGCAAAAGUAGUAUGGAUGCUUGUGGAGUUUUUAGUUGAAAUAAAGAACACCAUCCCACAAUGUAGUAUGAGAUGGAACCAUGUUCUUUAACAGAAAUGUCACAAAAGGAUUCCAUAUAAUGUCAGAUGCUGCUGCUAGUGAUCCUGAAUCAUUAAGAAGAAACCAUUAUCUGUGUGCAUUUAAGAAGAUAAGGAGAUAUUUCAUGCAUGUUCUAUAAAAUAUUUAGAAAACCCUUUUGGACACUUAAGGGAAUGGCCUUCAUUUAGCAGGAAAAUGAAUCUCCAUGGAUUAGCUCAUUCCUUCAAAUAAUGGCAGUAAAAUGAGCUAUGAUUUUUUUUCCACUUCAAAGGAGAAGCAUGGGAGUCCAAGCUGCUCAUGUGGACAACCCCAGUCAUCUCCUUUUGAAGGUAACGGUCUCUUUUCUGGCUUCCUUUCUCCUUGUCAAGGCAGAGUGAUCUUUCCAGGGCAUAUAAAAAUCUUUUCAUGCAUCCAAAUCCCUGACUCCUAGUAUAAAUACAAAGUCCUUAAUUUGAUCUACAGAUUUACAGUCUACCUCCUACCCACCAAUUCAGUCCUUACUCUUUACUCUAAACCGCAUUCCUUCCCUUAUUCUUUUUCUAGCUACAAUGGUUUUCUUUCAGUUCCUUAAUAGGCUUGAAACCCUCUUCAUUUGCCAUCCCUCAGCUUGCAGUGUCCUGCGGCCAAACUCGAUCCAGGUGCUAUACAUCUCCUACUUAGCUUGGAUGCUUCCGCAGGGAAGCCUUCCCUGACCUUCCUAUGAGUCCUUAAGGAACCAUAUACCUCUCUUCAGAACACUUACCUAUUUAUAUUUCUUUCUGCUACUAUUUAACGAAUAGCAGUUUAUGUUUUCAUCUAUAGUCUCCAUAAGGGCAUUUACUCCACAGGUGCCUUGAGUGGUCAAAAUGUGGUUGAAUAAGUGCUUUUCAAAAUUAUUAGUAUUCCUAAAAAACCAUCUAAAAUCCCUCUUGGUGGUACCUUGAAACAGUUAUAAUAAAUGCUGUAAUAAACAAUAAAUAGAGAGUACUUACUGACAUAUCAAGUAAUAGUAAAUAAAAUAAAAGGGCAAUUGGAAGGAGAUGAGAAACACUCUCCUUCCAAGUUGGAAAUGUAGUUUCCCAGACUUAGACGGUCAUUUCUUUCAAGUUGUAAGCAUCUGCUAAUCUUACAGCAGGCAACUUUUUCUUCCAAAGACUAUGAGGAAGCUUUGCAAGAGAACUUGAAAUACACAAAACACUGGCCAGCGCCGCGGUUCAGUAGGCUAAUCCUCCACCUAGCGGCGCCGGCACACCGGGUUCUAGUCCCAGUUGGGGCGCCGAAUUCUGUCCCGGUUGCCCCUCUUCCAAGCCAGCUCUCUGCUGUGGCCUGGGAAGGCAAUGGAGGAUGGCCCAAGUGCUUGGGCCCUGCACCCCAUGGGAGACCAGGAGAAGCACCUGGCUCCUGCCAUCGGAUCAGCGUGUGCACCGGCCGCAGUGUGCCAGCCGUGGUGGCCACUGGAGGGUGAACCAAUGGCAAAGGAAGACCUUUCUCUCUCUCUCUCUCACUGUCCACUCUGCCUGUCAAAAAAAAAAAAAAAAUACACACAAUAUUGUGUGCGUCCUUGAAAUAUAAUCAUGCACACAUCUAAAGGGCUUUUAAAGCAUGAUGGCUUAAUCAGAAUAUCUUUAACCCCGGCCUAAAUUCUUACCAAAUAGUUCACUAUCUGCAAUGAAAGGCUAAAUGGCAAGAAGCUGUGACACAAUUUAC